AAAAAGUUAGUUUAUUAAAACAUUAAUUUGUCAAAUUAAAAAUAUUAAAAUUUAAUACUUUUUG
rnacentral:tRNA from 1 species